rnacentral:rRNA from 1 species
UUCUUGGUUGAUCCUGCCGGAGGUCACUGCUAUUGGGAUUCGACUAAGCCAUGCGAGUCGAGAGGGUUCGGCCCUCGGCAGACGGCUCAGUAACACGUGGAUAAUCUGCCCUUAGGUGGAGGAUAAUCUCGGGAAACUGAGGAUAAUACUCCAUAGAUCUAGGAUGCUGGAAUGCACUUAGAUUAAAAGUUCCGGCGCCUAAGGAUGAGUCUGCGGACUAUCAGGUAGUAGUCAGGGUAAAGGCCUGACUAGCCUACGACGGAUACGGGUUGUGAGAGCAAUAACCCGGAGACGAUAUCUGAGACACGAUAUCGGGCCCUACGGGGCGCAGCAGGCGCGAAAACUUCACACUGUGCGAAAGCACGAUGAGGGAAUCCCAAGUGCUUGCUCGUAAGAGUAAGCUGUUUUUAUGUCUAAAAAGCAUAGAGAGUAAGGGCUGGGUAAGACGGGUGCCAGCCGCCGCGGUAA